rnacentral:rRNA from 1 species
GAGUUUGAUCGUGGCUCAGAUUGAACGCUGGCGGCAGGCCUAACACAUGCAAGUCGAGCGGUAGAGAGAAGCUUGCUUCUCUUGAGAGCGGCGGACGGGUGAGUAAUGCCUAGGAAUCUGCCUGGUAGUGGGGGAUAACGCUCGGAAACGGACGCUAAUACCGCAUACGUCCUACGGGAGAAAGCAGGGGACCUUCGGGCCUUGCGCUAUCAGAUGAGCCUAGGUCGGAUUAGCUAGUUGGUGAGGUAAUGGCUCACCAAGGCGACGAUCCGUAACUGGUCUGAGAGGAUGAUCAGUCACACUGGAACUGAGACACGGUCCAGACUCCUACGGGAGGCAGCAGUGGGGAAUAUUGGACAAUGGGCGAAAGCCUGAUCCAGCCAUGCCGCGUGUGUGAAGAAGGUCUUCGGAUUGUAAGGCACUUUAAGUUGGGAGGAAGGGCAGUAAAUUAAUAACUUUGCUGUUUUGACGUUACCGACAGAAUAAGCGCCGGCUAACUCUGUGACAGCCGCCG